rnacentral:tRNA from 1 species
GCUUCUUUAGUAUCAAUUAGUACAAUUGACUUCCAAUCAAUCAGCUCUGGCGCAACCCAGAAAGAAGUA